GAUUAACGCUAGCGGCAGGCAUAAUACAUGCCAGUUGAACGGCAGCACAGGUAGCAAUACUGGGUGGCGAGUGGCGCACGGGUGCGUAACACGUAUGCAACCUACCCUAUACAGGCGAAUAACCUUUAGAAAUGAGGGCUAAUACGCCGUAGUAUUACAGAUGGGCAUCUAUUUGUAAUUAAAGAUUUAUCGGUAUAGGAUGGGCAUGCGUCCCAUUAGUUAGUUGGUAAGGUAACGGCUUACCAAGACGAUGAUGGGUAGGGGAUCUGAGAGGACUUACCCCCACACUGGUACUGAGACACGGACCAGACUCCUACGGGAGGCAGCAGUAAGGAAUAUUGGGCAAUGGCCGCGAGGCUGACCCAGCCAUGCCGCGUGCAGGAAGACGGCCUUAUGGGUUGUAAACUGCUUUUAUACGGGAAGAAUAGAGUGUACGCGUACAUUUAUGCAAGUAUCGUAUGAAUAAGCAUCGGCUAACUCCGUG
rnacentral:rRNA from 1 species